CUAACUGUGCUAAGGUAGCAUAAUCAUUAGUUACUUAAUUUGUAACUAGAAUGAACGGCCUGACAAAAGAAUAACUUUAUUAUUUUUUGGUUAAAUUAAUUUAAGAAUAAAAAAGUUCUUAUAAACUAGAAAGACGAUAAGACCCUAAAACCUUAUAUAUAAAUAUUUACUGGGGCGGUAAUUUAUUAUCCAUAAGUUAAAAUAACACAAUGAAUGAUAUUAUCUAUUUAAUUAACUCAAAAAGGUACUUUAGGGAUAACAGCAUAAUUUUUAUUUAGAGUUCUUAUCGACAUAAAAGAUUAUGACCUCGAUGUUGAAUUGAUUCAACU
rnacentral:rRNA from 1 species